CGAACGGGUGAGUAACACGUGAAGAACCUGCCCUUCAGUGGGGGACAACAGUUGGAGACGACUGCUAAUACCGCAUAAGCCCACGGAUCCGCAUGGAUCUGCGGGAAAAGGAUUUAUUCGCUUCAGGAUGGACUCGCGUCCAAUUAGCUAGUUGGUGAGGUAACGGCCCACCAAGGCGACGAUUGGUAGCCGGACUGAGAGGUUGAACGGCCACAUUGGGACUGAGACACGGCCCAGACUCCUACGGGAGGCAGCAUG
rnacentral:rRNA from 1 species